GAUGAACGCUGGCGGCGUGCCUAAUACAUGCAAGUCGAGCGAACAGACGAGGAGCUUGCUCCUCUGACGUUAGCGGCGGACGGGUGAGUAACACGUGGAUAACCUACCUAUAAGGCUGGGAUAACUUCGGGAAACCGGAGCUAAUACCGGAUAAUAUAUUGAACCGCAUGGUUCAAUAGUGAAAGACGGUUCUGCUGUCACUUAUAGAUGGAUCCGCGCCGCAUUAGCUAGUUGGUAAGGUAACGGCUUACCAAGGCAACGAUGCGUAGCCGACCUGAGAGGGUGAUCGGCCACACUGGAACUGAGACACGGUCCAGACUCCUACGGGAGGCAGCAGUAGGGAAUCUUCCGCAAUGGGCGAAAGCCUGACGGAGCAACGCCGCGUGAGUGAUGAAGGUCUUCGGAUCGUAAAACUCUGUUAUUAGGGAAGAACAAAUGUGUAAGUAACUAUGCACGUCUUGACGGUACCUAAUCAGAAAGCCACGGCUAACUACGUG
rnacentral:rRNA from 1 species